CAGCAGCCGCGGUAAUACGGAGGGGGCUAGCGUUGUUCGGAAUUACUGGGCGUAAAGCGCACGUAGGCGGCUUGGUAAGUUAGAGGUGAAAGCCCGGAGCUCAACUCCGGAAUUGCCUUUAAGACUGCCGAGCUAGCAGGUGAGAGAGGUAAGUGGAAUUCCGAGUGUAGAGGUGAAAUUCGUAGAUAUUUGGAAGAACACCAGUGGCGAAGGCGGCUUACUGGCUCAUACUGGACGCUGAGGUGCGAGAGCGUGGGGAGCAAACAGGAUUAGAUACCCCAGUAGUCCCUGUCUCUUAUAC
rnacentral:rRNA from 1 species